AGGCUCUUGGUCUGGUUCCACGCUGGUGCUCCUUCCUGGAUAACCACACCGUGGAGCUUGAGGAGAACCCGAGAGCACCAUCAAUGAUGACUACAAAACCUAGUGAACCUGGGACAUCUCUGGAGGAGUGACUCGAAUGGGAGGAGAGAUCAGGGAUGCUAAACCUCAGUGACACAGCAGUUGGAAGCAAACAGCUCACUUUCACUCUCAAGAAGACAGAGAAGCAGCGAUUUCAACUGCAGGCUGAACACGACCAUCACGGGGACAGAAGGAAGAUCAGACGGGCUGCUGGACACUUGCAUUCUCACAGGGGAAGAAGAGGUGGUGGGAGAUGAAGAGGAAGGAAUAAUUGUGGUCACUAGUUGUUGACAAACAGGACUUUUGAUACUGCCUUAAAAUGUGUCUGAUCAGACAUCUGCAGAAAUCACUUUUGUGUUCAAGGGACAAUUCCAUUAUGCCAUCACUGACUCACAUUAAGAGACUAUAUCUGUGUGUCAGUCCUGUCUUUUUCCACAACAUCUCUCAGUACAGUCUAAACAGAACCUUGUGUUUUGUGAAGAACCAUAAAACAUUUUUAUCAACAUCUGCUCUUUACUGUUCUGUUCUGUUCUCUUACAUUUAUACACACAAAUUAAUUCCCAUUCAGCAUCAAUUCACUUUUACUGCGGAUCAUUGUAAAAGUGAAAUGCUUUUGAAUCUUUAUACUACUUUACAUCUAAGUCAUGGUUUUACUCCACAAAACUAACCAAUGCACAGAGUGGCAGACCAAAACUGAACAUGGCUGUGUGCUGUUUCACGUACUUCUACUGUGUAGUGUGUACUAAAUAUAUGCACUUUAUGAUGGGAUGUGGUCUUUUAUAGAGAAUGUGAAGCUGACGUCAAACCUGUUGAGUUCUGGGUAACUGCCAUACUGGAAGGAUCGCUUUCUUCUAGUGAGUUCAGGGCAGUAUUUAGAUUUUCUGUCAUGACUGUGAAAAAUGUCACCAUUGUAGGUCAUUCAUGCUGCAUCAUAACUUGCCGUAAUAACAAUGGAAUACAUUUUUUCACCUAUCCUACGUAUAAAAAACACCAAGGCAGCAGG